rnacentral:rRNA from 1 species
GACAGAGGUGGCAAGCGUUGUUCGGAUUUACUGGGCGUAAAGAGCGCGUAGGCGGUCCUUUAAGUCGGUGGUGAAAUCCCGGGGCUUAACCCCGGAACUGCCUCCGAUACUGUUGGACUUGAGUGCGGGAGAGGGUAGUGGAAUUCCCAGUGUAGAGGUGAAAUUCGUAGAUAUUGGGAAGAACACCAGUGGCGAAGGCAGCUACCUGGACCGCAACUGACGCUGUGGCGCGAAAGCGUGGGGAGCAAACAGG